rnacentral:rRNA from 1 species
GAGAGCGGCGGACGGGUGAGUAAUGCCUAGGAAUCUGCCUGGUAGUGGGGGAUAACGUUCGGAAACGGACGCUAAUACCGCAUACGUCCUACGGGAGAAAGCAGGGGACCUCCGGGCCUUGCGCUAUCAGAUGAGCCUAGGUCGGAUUAGCUAGUUGGUGGGGUAAUGGCUCACCAAGGCGACGAUCCGUAACUGGUCUGAGAGGAUGAUCAGUCACACUGGAACUGAGACACGGUCCAGACUCCUACGGGAGGCAGCAGUGGGGAAUAUUGGACAAUGGGCGAAAGCCUGAUCCAGCCAUGCCGCGUGUGUGAAGAAGGUCUUCGGAUUGUAAAGCACUUUAAGUUGGGAGGAAGGGUUGUAGAUUAAUACUCUGCAAUUUUGACGUUACCGACAGAAUAAG